rnacentral:rRNA from 1 species
AUUGAACGCUGGCGGCAUGCCUUACACAUGCAAGUCGAACGGCAGCACGGGAGCAAUCCUGGUGGCGAGUGGCGAACGGGUGAGUAAUAUAUCGGAACGUGCCCAGUCGUGGGGGAUAACGUAGCGAAAGCUACGCUAAUACCGCAUACGAUCUACGGAUGAAAGCGGGGGAUCGCAAGACCUCGCGCGAUUGGAGCGGCCGAUAUCAGAUUAGGUAGUUGGUGAGGUAAAGGCUCACCAAGCCGACGAUCUGUAGCUGGUCUGAGAGGACGACCAGCCACACUGGGACUGGGACACGGACCAGACUCCUACGGGAGGCAGCAGUGAGGAAUAUUGGACAAUGGGCGCAAGCCUGAUCCAGCCAUGCCGCGUGCAGGAAGAAGCAUCUAUGGUGUGUAAACUGCUUUUGUACGGGAAGAAACCCUCCCACGUGUGGGAGCUUGACGGUACUGUAGGAAUAAGGAUCGGCUAACUCCGUG